CAGAGGUCCCAAGCGUUGUUCGGAUUCACUGGGCGUAAAGGGUGCGCAGGUGGGUUUGCAAGUUCGAUGUGAAAGCCCCGGGCUUAACCCGGGAUGGCAUUGGAUACUGCAGAUCUGGAGGAUCGGAGGGGGACUGGAAUUCUUAGUGUAGCAGUGAAAUGCGUAGAUAUCAAGAGGAACACCAGUGGCGAAGGCCGAGUCCCCUGGACGAUACCUGACACUGAGGCACGAAAGCUAGGGAGCAAACAGGACUU
rnacentral:rRNA from 1 species